ensembl:lncRNA
UCAUAGCGUUAAAGCUACAUGGAGGAAGACAGAGAUGGGACACUUCGUUCGUAGCGCCACCUUCAGGACGCGGCCGGUAUUGUCACUCAGAGAGGCCUCGCAGCGUUAAAGCUACAGUCGGGUUGAGGAAUCUGCUGCCAGAUUACCGAGACUAAAGAUGAUUCCAGGCUGUAAAUAUCUGCAGACAAACCUUCACAAACGCGAACAGCCGCGUGUCGGUGGAUAUAAAUGCAGGUAGGAGCUGAGGGAAAGGCUGCCGGCGCCUCCUGGUGGUGGAUCUGUUGAACUACAGCUGCAGCUACACAAUGAACAGCAGCGGAAAGUUUCAGUCCGAAGGUCUGCAGUGUUUAAAGUCAACACAAACACAGCUCUGGUGGAAAACUAAGUAGUAUUUACAGAACGCACUCAUUUUAUCAUGUGACUGUUGUCUUCAUUUAC